rnacentral:rRNA from 1 species
AGAGUUUGAUCCUGGCUCAGAACGAACGCUGGCGGCGUGCCUAAUACAUGCAAGUCGAACGUGAAGUGUAGCAAUACAUGGAAAGUGGCGAACGGGUGAGUAACACGUAAGUAAUCUACCUUUAAGUUUGGGAUAACCUUGCCAACGCGGGGCUAAUACCGGAUGUGAUCAGUUGAGCGCAUGUUUAGUUGAUCAAAGGAGCAAUUCGCUUAAAGAUGAGCUUGCGGCCCAUUAGUUAGUUGGCGGGGUAACAGCCCACCAAGACCGCGAUGGGUAGCCGGCCUGAGAGGGUGUACGGCCACAUUGGGACUGAGAUACGGCCCAGACUCCUACGGGAGGCAGCAGUAGGGAAUUUUGCGCAAUGGACGAAAGUCUGACGCAGCAACGCCGCGUGAGGGAUGAUGGCCUUCGGGUUGUAAACCUCUGUUGGAUGGGAAAAAAAGCAGCAAUGUUUGAUGGUACCAUUCGAGUAAGCACCGGCUAACUACGUGCCAGCAGCCGCGGUAAUACGUAGGGUGCAAGCGUUGUUCGGAAUCACUGGGCGUAAAGAGAGCGUAGGCGGAUCGUAAGUUAGGAGUUUAAUCCACGGGCUCAACCUGUGAUCGGCUUUUAAUACUGCGGUUCUUGAGUAUGGGAGAGGGCGAUGGAAUUCCAGGUGUAGCGGUGGAAUGCGUAGAUAUCUGGAAGAACACCAGUAGCGAAGGCGGUCGCCUGGCCCAAUACUGACGCUGAGGCUCGAAAGCUAGGGGAGCAAACAGGAUUAGAUACCCUGGUAGUCCUAGCCGUAAACGAUGAACACUAGUUGCUGGAGGAGUCAAUCUUUUCGGUGACGAAGCUAACGCAUUAAGUGUUCCGCCUGGGAAGUACGCUCGCAAGAGUGAAACUCAAAUGAAUUGACGG